rnacentral:lncRNA from 1 species
UGGAUUUUUAAGCGCUGUCAAAAAGAUCCACAAUCAUUUUGUACGACAAGAAAACUCUUCAGAGGUGGGCUUCCCAUCAGAGAAAACUGCCAACAUCGAUCUCUUUGAUGAUGGUCUGCCUGCUCCAGCUCAGGCAUAUCUGAAAGUGUGUUCUGCCAUGUCUGAGAUGGGUCUGAAUGACAUGAAACCUAGCAGCACCCCUGCAAUCCUCUCUUCUCAAGAACAGGAAGUGCUGUCUUCUUCUGGCACCACAGUGCAGAGGAGGAGCGUGUUACGAACUGAGGAAAUAACCAAAUGGCAGGACAACCGGAUGUCCACCAAGCAAGUGACCAUCACUGUGACUCAAAGUAUCCGGCAGGUGGAUAAGAGCGGGAAGAUCAAGGAAACAUCACAAACCACCUACGAGGUCAUGAAACCUGUGGAUGGUUUGAUGGACGCAGUAGUUGACUCAUUGCCUCAAUGAGGUGUUUCCCAAGACCUCAUGAAGACUGUAUCUUGGGUUUCAGGAAAGCUUUGGUGAAGAUGUCAGGGACCAAAGAAGUAAAAAGCAGGGAUGACCUAAAUGAAGAAGUUCAUCAGUGCUGUGCUUAACGGGUUUCAAGGGUCAGUUAAUUGUUAGUUUCAUUGUUCAGUUCCACUAGACUGAUUUAAAGGGGUCCUAUUAUGCUUUUUCACUUUUUCAACUUUAGUUAGUCUGUAAUGUUGCUGUUUGAGCAUAAAAAAGAUCUGCAAAGCUCAAAGUCCAAUUCAAAAGGAGAUAUUUUAUUUAACAGAAAUCACUUUUCAAAAACUGCAACGAACGACUCGUUUGGACUACAACGCAUAUUUUCCGGGAUUUGUGAUAUCACAAAUAUCGACAAAUGGGACGAGACCUGGUUGAGCUGCACUAGAGAAGGCAACGAGUGUUAUCACUAUGUCGGAGACACGCUAGCUUUCUCAAGGCAGACGAACUUAGAGUGAUUACAAUCAUCCGGGUUUAAAUGGAGCUCAAAUAGAUUUGAUUUUGACACAAUAUUUAGGCGCCGAGUGCUGCCAAUCACAGCACACACUGGCCCAGCUAACCAGUCACAGCAUAUUUCGUAUUUCAGAAGGCGGGCCUUCAUUUGAUACAGGAACUAUUCGAGCCAUUCAUGCCAGACUGGGGAGAGAGGUAUUGUAAUAAUGUAAAAUAUGUGAAAAAUAAUGUGUUUUUCGAACAACCUAGUAUGAGAGCCUGUUCUAGUACACCCCCAAAACAAAAUCAAAACUUUGUAAAAGAGCAUAAUAGGACCCCUUUAAUAAUGUCUAUUUUUUAUGUACAUCUUUCCACUGUAUGCCAACAAAAAUCUUAGUAAAACCAUCUACUGUACUUACACUUAAAGCACAGGAUAGGUGGACCCUUAAUGACUGGCUGAUUGAUUUUGUGAAAAGUGUAAAAAUUAUACUUGCACAGUUAAAAAAAAACAUACCAACAACACACAUUUUUUCCCAGAAAAAGGGUGACUUGAAGUUGAUGCACUGCUUUAAUUUUGAAAAAUCAGGGCUCUUACUACCACACUAUUGUUGCCUUUAGCCUUUUGGGGUACACGUGCAAACAUUUGUUCAAAACCUAAUUACAGCUUCUGUAGCAAGCUAGCACUACUGCGAAAGGUAGUAUGUAAGAAUAUAAAGCAGCUCUGUUUUGUUAUUCCAAUAUUGUUUUAUAUGUCACUGCUUUACUGACUGGAAGAUGAUGUUUAUUGUUGAGUAAUUAAAUAUCUAUUGUGGUAAUUUGGAAGUGCAUAAUAACUAUUACUGUAUCCCAAUCUUUCUCU